rnacentral:misc_RNA from 1 species
AAAAUGCGAUAAGUAAUGUGAAUUGCAGAAUUCAGUGAAUCAUCGAAUCUUUGAACGCACAUGGCGCCCGCCAGUAUUCUGGCGGGCAUGCCUGUCUGAGCGUCAUUUCAACCCUCGGGACCCCGUUCGCGGGACCCGGCGUUGGGGAUCAGCCCGAAGCCCCCCGGGGCGGGCGGCUGGCCCCGAAAUCUAGUGGCGGUCCCCCCAGCGACCUCCUCUGCGCAGUAGUAACUCACCUCGCAGCUGGACAGCGGGAGGGCCACGCCGUAAAACCCCCAACUUCUCAAAGGUUGACCUCAGAUCAGGUAGGAAUACCCGCUGAACUUAAGC